UAAAUACUCCCUCUUCUCGAAAAUACUUGUCCAAUAAAUGAAUAUAAUGAAUGUAUCUAUAACUAAAAUAAGUCUAGAUACAUUCAUCUUCAGGACAAGUAUUUCCGGACGGAGGGGGUAUAAU
rfam:Hordeum vulgare subsp. vulgare, WGS project CAJW01000000 data, contig: morex_contig_1590565